rnacentral:rRNA from 1 species
UAUUCCCUACGGGGCGCAGCAGUGGGGAAUAUUGGGCAAUGGGGGAAACCCUGACCCAGCGACGCCGCGUGAGGGAAGAAGGUUUUCGGAUUGUAAACCUCUGACCUUGGUGACGAUAAUGACGGUAGCCAAGGAGGAAGCCACGGCUAACUACGUGCCAGCAGCCGCGGUAAUACGUAGGUGGCGAGCGUUGUCCGGAAUUACUGGGUGUAAAGGGAGCGUAGGCGGGAGAGCAAGUCGACUGUGAAAUCUAUGGGCUUAACCCAUAGCUGCGAUCGAAACUGUUCAUCUUGAGUGAAGUAAGG